CGGCCGAUGCCUGAUUAGCUAGUUGGUGAGGUAAAGGCUUACCAAGGCGACGAUCAGUAGCUGGUCUGAGAGGACGACCAGCCAUACUGGGACUGAGACACGGCCCAGACUCCUACGGGAGGCAGCAGUGGGGAAUUUUGGACAAUGGGGGAAACCCUGAUCCAGCCAUGCCGCGUGAGUGAAGAAGGCCUUCGGGUUGUAAAGCUCUUUCAGCCGGAACGAAACGGUCACGGCUAAUACCCGUGACUACUGACGGUACCGGAAGAAGAAGCACCGGCUAACUACGUGCCAGCAGCCGCGGUAAUACGUAGGGUGCAAGCGUUAAUCGGAAUUACUGGGCGUAAAGCGUGCGCAGGCGGUUUUGUAAGUCAGAUGUGAAAUCCCCGGGCUUAACCUGGGAACUGCGUUUGAAACUACAAGGCUAG
rnacentral:rRNA from 1 species